UACGUAGGGCGCAAGCGUUGUCCGGAAUUAUUGGGCGUAAAGAGCUCGUAGGCGGUUUGUCGCGUCUGCUGUGAAAGCCCGGGGCUCAACCCCGGGUCUGCAGUGGGUACGGGCAGACUAGAGUGCAGUAGGGGAGACUGGAAUUCCUGGUGUAGCGGUGAAAUGCGCAGAUAUCAGGAGGAACACCGAUGGCGAAGGCAGGUCUCUGGGCUGUUACUGACGCUGGGAGAAGCUGGGAAGCAUAGGGAGCGAAUGAUAGACC
rnacentral:rRNA from 1 species